AUGGGAAUUAGGGCUAAUCUCGUUAUGACCUUCAGACUCCUCUCCCUAACUCACUCGCUCCUUCGUUCUCCCUCUCUCUCACGAUGAAUUCACGGCGGCCGGAGAGCUCCAUCGUCUCCGAGCGGAGCUUAUUCCGCCGUCUCCUCUUUCUGAGUUACGCUCCAAUCCUCAUCUCAUGAUUCAUCCCUAAUCAACCAAAACUGCUACGAACCCUAACCUCUACAACCGUAAAUUAAACGGCGAUACUAACGAAUUGUAACUCAGAGUAAGAGGGUUUCUCUUCUACUCGAAGUCCUCUACAUUUCGGUGUCAAGAAUCAAGCGAAUAAUGCGCAGGAGCAAUCGAUCAGAGAACUUACCGAUGACGACGAUUCGGAGACGCUCAAAUGGAGGAGAAAAUACCAGAGACAAUUGCUAGAAAUCCGGGUUAUUUGGUUUGAAUUUGCUCUGGUUUUUCCUCUUCUGUUUUGGCAUAGCAAAGGGAGCUGAAUUGAUUGGAAUCAUGGAUGGACAAGGUUUGAAACUGGUGUGGACUGCAUUAUUUCGUGAAGUACAUGGCUGCUGUUUGGUAUUUGAUUUAAUGGUGCAGUUUUUUGAAUUGGUAUAAGGGGCUUGUAAUGCUAUCUCAAGGCUGGCCGUAAGUUCAUGGAAGCAAUUCGUGCGCAAUGCAUUGGCAAAGAUUGGAAGAAGAUCAACAUGAAGUUUUAGGAUCAAAGAAGAACAUAGGUUUAUAAAUUUUAGAAUUUAGGAGUUUGAUGUAAUGGGAAUGAUUGAAGUUGUAAUGAUAAUGUGCAUUGUAUGGUUUAAUGUUCAGCAGUGUUUGUUCCUUUUUGUAGAGUUGGAAUUUUUGUUUUAUAUCCUGGGCCGGAUUGGACUCUUAAAAUGAAUGGGGAUUUUUGAAUGUUUUUGUAAUGGAUAUUGAAUUUUUUAUGUAAGUUUGUAAUGAAUAAUGAUGUUGAAUGAAACUUGAAAAGGUGUUGAUGCUCUUGUAACUCUUGUGACCUCGAUGAUCCAUUUUCAAUACGCAAAGCAUUUCUCCUCUUUUUGCUAGCCUUCGACCGAUACCUUGCAUCUUAAGAAAGCUUGGUUCACUCUUCUAUGUUGUUGCAUUUGUAAUUCGAUCCCCCCAUAACAAUAAUGCUUUAAAGAAAUCCUUGAAGAUAAUAAUUGAGCAUAGGAGAAUGCCUUAACACGAAAUCCAGUGAACUCAAAAUGAAACAACAAUCUCAGACACCAAGCGCAAGUAACUCUAAUCUCUUGAUACCCACAGGAAUAUAGACCUUAAUCCUUCGAACUUGGUACAUCUUGAGAGAUAGUACCUCUGUAUCCUUUGAAUGAAUGCGAGAGCCUCAAAGCAAUAUAGGAACCUUAAUUCUUCAAGAUCCUUGAUCCCAAUACCAGAUUUA